UCCUCUGUAUAUAUGGCGGAAUAUAUCAGGCAAAGACGUAAGUUUUAUUGAGUCGCGAAACCCAAAGCGCGUUUUCAACGCGCAAACAACCAAAUAUGCAUACACGCGAUCGCGCUACGUACGGUGUACAAAAACAUAAACGUUAUUGUCGAAGGAAAUGUAAGUGCAGAUGUUGGCAAAGGCACGAGACAUCGUUCCAUGGAGAUUAAAUGAAGCUAAUGGAACGGCAAUUUCGGUGUUUGCAAUCUUAUAACGCAUUUUGCCAGAAGAAUAAUGGAACGCUCAUCGACCGGGAGGGAAUUACGUAAACUUUAGUGGUACAACACGUUGUUUCAAUUUUUCGCCCGGUUUCUUCGAAACUCUAAACCAGUUCGCCGCUUUAUCGUCGAGCUUUUCACUUGUGUAUCCAUCAUCGACUAUAAACACUGCUUUUCAGCAACUUCUGUGAACAAUUAUGUGUUCGUUAUGAUCUUAAUUUCUGCUCUAUUUAACUCGAGCAAAGCAUUUUAAAUAAAAUAAAAUGAUGUUUGUGUAUACUCGCGUAUUUUGUACUAACAAAAUUAUAUCACGGUUCAAAGAGAUUGUGGUAUAUAAUGAUAAAUAUAAAAUAUGAGUGAGAAAACAAUACCUCUAUCUUAAUCUUCGUAAUUGGAUCUUAAAUUUCAUUGCUUCGUGUUCAAAGAAUAAUUGCUCCGACCUAUGUUCUUCCAUUUCCGAACUACAGCAAGAGAUUAAAAGAGAUCUUAAAAGUGCGAUGCUUCAGAGAAACAGCCAAUAUUCGCCUUUGGCCGCAUUCUUACCCUCACAAAAAGAAGUAGAAAGAAUAGAGAGCUAUCUUUGUUCUUAAAAGUUCACUAUCUGUGUUAAAAGUUUCAUACUAUCAAGAAAUUGCAAUGCUAUAAACUUACGAUUUCAAAUAUAGUAAAUAAUGUAGGAUCAUUACAUAGGAUCAGACAGAAAUACUUUUCGAAACUAGAGUAUUGUAUUUACGUGUCUUGAGUAAAUUAUAUAAACCUAGUUAGUAACACGGAGGCGAAGAAAUGACCCAAUAUUGUUCUCAUCUCUCUGUGAAUAGAUACAAUCCCUGCUGCUGUUUCGUGUUCGAGUAAAACAAGAAGGUUGCCUGUUCUUGCCGACCAACAAUAUCAGUUCGCUAGAAAUUCAAAUCAAAACGUUUCUGGAUUUGUGCAUAAAUAUAUUUUGGGCUACAAAAUAUAUUUACACGCCCCCUUAUUUUCUAGUGAAGAGUCUUUUUGAUCAAAUUCUGUAUGUAUUUCGCUUACAUAAUAUUAGAUUAUUACAGUCAUAUGAAAAUGUUACUAGACGAUAUGAUAAAUGUAUAUGAUAAUAAACUUAGUGUGAAAAUAUUAAACUAAAAAUUAAACGAUAGUGAAAAUUCACGAUAAAAAAAGUAAGUUAAUAAAUUGAUAAUAAUAAAAGAAUUGACAAAUCAAGCGAAAAACUGAAUUUUAUUCUGCUAUUCGAUAUUUUCCUUCUUAGACGUUUAAAUAUUGCAUCUCGGACGCUUCGUCUUAUCGCGUUUCUGCUCAUCUAUUUCCUGCAUUCCGAAUGUCUCAGUUCCAAAAUUCAAUUCCAUCAUUUGCAUCUUCCAUAACGUAACAUUGUGACAACAAGAUCAACGAUAUCUUACGCUUUCAGAAAUUGUUAGCGUACACCCUCCCGGCUUGACAGAUAAAAGCAGCGGGAAAUCGAUGUUCGACGAAGAAUCGUCGCGUUAUUGCAUUCAGCCUGCGUCUACCCUCGACAGAUCUUGUUAUUUUUCGUAUAGUACAGUUUCAAUUGCAUUUAUCCAUGGAGAAGCGCCGCAAGCAACGCUCCCGUUUCUAUUCUGCGCUCGGAACUGUCUUCCUUCCGCUGUGUUUCACGUAGACCGCGUAAUUUCUUCGCACAGCUGCGCAUCACGGUGCCUAAACGAACAACCGACGAGACAACAUGACAAUCGAGAGACGAAUUUUAAUAACGUAAGAGAAUGGUUUAAUUGAGAACGCAGGUGAUCGGUCCAGUCAGUGAUAAGUUCUAAAGAAAUCAGUGUUUAAUCCCUUUAGGUCGAAUUUAUCGAAGUACAAAAAAAUGACCAGUUUUUAUUUCUCUGAGAAAGAAAGAAACAAUCGAUGGUCUGAAGUUAAUUCUGCUGCGAAGGAGGAUUAUUUCGAUUAGAAUCUUUUCCUAUUUCGUUCGAAUUUGAGAUAUUCUUUGACGUUAAGAAGAUAUAACUGAGUCGAAAAUAACCGAAAAAACGUGACAUGGUGAAAUACAACUAUUCGUUACAGAUUUUAUACAAUCUGGAAUAUUUAUUUGCAACAAUGGUUACUGUAUGUUUUAAAAUCGUGUUUCAAUUAAAGAAAAAUUAAAUUAGCACAAAUGACGUACAGUCUACCUACGCCUUUUCAGAAUUACGUUAUUACGAAAUUUUAAUUAUACGAUAUAAUGCUUAAAUAUGUUACGGCUAGCCGUCAUUAACAUAAUUCGAAUCCAGUGAAUCUGGUAACUAGAUGGAUAUGAUAUUCGUUAAUUAAUCCUCAAAUUGCACAUAUUAAAUAUUAUAUAAUAUUCGUAAUUCAUCGUUCAGAAAUAUAAAAUUUAUGAGACCAUGUAAUAUGGCGUUGUACGAAUAGAAAUGGAAGGAAAGAACCAUAGAUCGGAUAAAUAUGUAUUAUCUGGCUUGACGUACAAACGGUAUCCCUUUCCAUCGUAAUUCUAUCAUCUCGACCUCAUUUCGCUCACGUCUACUUGCUUUUUCAGCUAUUCGCUUUCAAAACGUAAUUAACCGUCACGGAUAUUCGAUAUGAAAAACAAAACUUAUAUUCUGAUUUGAGACAAUAAUGGUAAAUGUAUAAAUAACCAAUUAAAUUAAUACCAAAUGCAAAAUACAUCGCAAACAUCAAUGAAACGCAAAAUAUCUUGCGUACUACGAUUUUAAUAAUGAUCUCCGGUGUCAAAGGAUCUCCUAUGUGUUACAGUAGAACCUUGAUUAUCCAAACUAAUCAUGAAUCACGGUGUACGGAUAAUCGAAUAACUUUGGUUUCACACAAGAGCAGAUUAUAGGUCUAUCUGAAACUAUUUUAUCAAUAUUAAUAUUAAACAGAAACAAGAAUUUUCCUUCCUAUUUUCUUGCAAAGAACUAUUUCUACCUCUUCUCCCAUCUUCCUUUCUUUCUUAUAGAUUUUACAGAUACAAAUUUUCGAGAUUCGAUAAACGGAAUGACAAAAUCAGGCAUUUGUACGUGUUCACGCUUCGAGUAAAAGUGGUGUCUUUAUUAAACCGCUUCUUCUAACACCAGAAACAAAUCUUUGCCGCAUAUCAGCUCUAACGAGCAACAAAGUACAGCCUCACAAUGCUUUGCCUCUUGGCAAUUGUAAUCCACAUUGUUCUUCCAUUGUUGUAGCCGCUUUCCGUGAUUGCGCCGGGAAUCAACACAUCGUUUGAACCGCGUCUUUCGCCUAGGUCAGUCUCGUUUGAUUUUCAUACAGGGUUCAUACAAGGAUUUCCGUAACGCUCGAGUUCAGUUCGAUUUCCGAUUAUGUACACACUGUGUAUAUUAAAAUUUUCAAUCUUCGUCCGAUCAUAUCAAUAUUUGCAAGUACGAAUGAAAUCCGAAUACGAGAAAACCACGUGAGAAGCGAUUUCGUUUAUAAAAUAUUAAUUUCAAGCUGUGUCGUACUAUCCAGGAUUAUUAUACAAUUCAUAUGCUGUUUAGAUAUUGCAUUCAAGUGCACAAUACAGUUUCUUUUUGUUUUGUAUCGUUAAACACGAACUAGACUUUUGUCUCAAUUGUGUUAUUAUUUUUUCUUUUUUUUCGUUUUAGAAAAUCAUUAUCCUGUAAGUAAAAAAUGUCAAAGUUAAAUAUUUCUAGAUCAACGGCCAGUUAUUUCAGCACGAAGCAUUUGUGUUUUAAAGUAGAAUUAGUUGUCAAGCGAAAUUUAAUUCUAGCGAAGGCACUUGUUUUGAAGGCGCUUUGUGAAGAAGGUCCAAAAGUUUCGAGAAAAUCUGGAGCUCACCGAAACUUUUCUUGGUGUUUGAGCAACACUGUUCGUCAAUGUUGAAAGCAGCUCGAAAUUAGAUGUACAUAUUUUUAGCCGAAGAUAUAGGAAAGAUGACAAGUGAGGAAUAAAAGAAAAAAAAAAAAUAAAAAAUUCGAUGUUAAUAAACAUAAAUUUUCCUUUAAAUAAUUUGAAUCAUAAUAAAUAUUUUUCUAAACGUUUAGCAUAUGCCUUUUCACCAGAGUUAAAAGAUACCAUCCAUUAACGUAAUAUAUAGUGUUACAAGACUUUAAAAGUAGGAGAGAAGAUCUAACAGUUUACGAAGAACAUCGCUAUAAGAAGAUUUAAUAACGUUAAUAAAACAAUGAUUUCGGUUCUUAAAACUUAAACAGAUUUCAACCUCGGGUCUUUGCGGAAAGUUAAGGAGAAUUAAUAGUUCAAGACAGAUUAUCCAACUAAAGUUUGGUCAUUGAAAUUUUCGUUCCUAAACAUAACUUAAUAUAGUCCAUAAAUUACUUAUAAAAUACAUAAAUCUACGCAGUCUUUAGUUUCUAAUAUAACAAGCAGAAUGAAUAUGUUAUGUCACGUUACAAAAGAAAUUUCGAGAAGUUUUGUAUAACGCGCAUAAUAUAUUCAUGGAACUUUUUUAUGGUAAGUGUUCAAGUAAUUGAAUCGGUGCAAUUUAUCAAAAUGAAUUGCAACACAUACGCGAACAAUCCUAACUAUAUGUUACCUCGAUGUAAAAGAGAAACUCGUUAUUGUCACGGUAACCUCGAGAAAGUGUUCAAGUAUAGCAGCAUGGCAGAGAUACAACGAAUAAAUCCAAUACUCGUGUCGACUAAAAUUACUCGACUGUAUUGAUAAGAGAUGAAAUUGGCUGGUUUCCGCGUGACAACCUUCGUUCUAAUGUCGUUUCACGACGAUCGUGAAUGCGUUUUCGGCGCGCUUUCGUAAGUGCACGCGCGUGGAAAACUUGAUUCCCGGCAAUUUGACUAAGUAACGAAGUUUCAAGCCUCUGCCCGUUCAAUUCGUCAAAAUGGAACGGAACUCGGCCAAUUUAAGCGUCGUCCCCGGACUUCACCAAGUGUGUUUCUGUCUCUGCGUCAGUCAUCGGCAGGGAAACAAUUAAUUUCGCGUUACCUGUCAGACCCUGUUUCUAGGAUUCACGACAACGUCCCUUGACGUAUUUUUCAAUGCGACCUGAAUUCAAGCACUGCGUUGAAAAAUUCAAUCCCGUCGGCGAUGCUUCGCAUUCGCGCCAAGUCGAAACAGACUCGCAGCUGCUGCUAUGGAUUUCGCAUUUCGUCGCACGUACGGCGUAUAUAGAGUACAAAAUGUAAUUUUCAUAUUGUCUUCGUUUUAACGCGAUGUUAAAAUAAUUAGAUGCUUUCAGUUAUGCACUGGCACAUGAAAAUAUUCGAAUACUUGUGAACAUUUUUUCUGAAUAUACUAUAUGUAUAAUAUCAUAAAAACUUAUUAUGAAAGAUUAUGGUAUUAUCUUUAUUACGAGUAACGUAAAAAGAUAUUUAGUACAGGGUUCAGUAAUGAACGCCUGCAUUCAGUUAUAUCGCGUUUAACUGCACGCGUUGUGUUCAAAAAUAUGUAGGAAUUUUAUUGUGCUCAUUCUGAAUCUAAAAAUGUGUAUUUGGGAAAUUGGAUGUGAAACUUAAUUAGGAAAACGUUUGUACGGAUUAUAUUUUCGACAAAUUACGUUGUUAGUAAAAUUUCAUGAAAGACAAUAAACCAUGCAAAUCUCAGAGAUGCAAAAUUCUUUAUAAUAGUAACAACUAUACCCUUAAAUUGUACACAUUAUAUUCAUAACGUAAUUAAAUUUACGUAGAUUUGAAUUUGCUACAGAAUGGAAAACUCCUUGCUGCAAGAUUGAGGAAACCUUGGAUGUUGAUUAAAAAUUUAAAAUAUUGUGAUUUCGUUAUGUUCAAAAAAAGCAAUUCACUUUGCUACACGGUAUUCGUUACGUGGCGCACGAUACCCCGAUUUGUAUGCGGUAUAAAAAUCGUAUGACUCACAGCUUUCAGCGCAUUAAUAAGCUUGAGACUAAGAAAGAAGCGCAAAAAGCCCUGAUGCAUAUUCAAAACGAGAAGGUAGAAGAGGUAUAUAAAGCACGGGGCGUCCGAGUGUAUCGUAUAAUACCUUUAAAGCUGGCUGAAAAUCUUGACGAAACUUUGUCCGGAGCUUUCAACGUGUCGUCGCGUACCGAUGAAAAGCUGAAGAAGGAAAGAAACAAAAAGAAGUGUGGAAAAAUUUCGAGAAAUCUUAUCGACCAUAAAUACCGAUUCAUAAUUAAACGUGUGUUCUUCAUGAGUAGUUUAAGCGACCUUCCGCUUUUAUUCCAGAAAAUGGUCUAUCGAUUUUGGCCCCGAUUUGAGCACCGCUAUCGAAACAUUGUGUACCCGGAAGAUCUUUAUUUCUGCCAAAUUCCAUUCAACAUAUUACACUCAGCGUAGCAUGGGACGCAUCAGCUAAUCGCGCCAGAAUUCCCAUGAAAUACUGAAACUUGUUUCUCACUUUCGUUGAUUACACACACCCGUUCAGUUCUAUCGUGUUGAAUUUUCUAACCAACGAAUUCACGUAACUUUGGAAAAUUACUAGCCCUCGAGGGAGAGAGAGAAAGAGAGAGAGAGAGAGAGCGCGCAAUUUCCAAUUGGAUUAUUCGCGCAAGUGUGUAUACGGCGAGUUAUUACAUUAUUUAGCCGAUCGAUGUCUCGAAUUAAGCCCACCGUCUAAAUCCUCAUCGACCGAAUCUUAUCUGUGUAUCCAACUAUGUGAAUUAAUUACGAUCACGUUCACGUUUGCUUUCGAGACAUUAAUAACACGACUCAGCAACUAUGGAAAUUCUAAUAAUUCUUUUUAAUAGAUCUCCAUAUGCGUAGCGACUGUACGGACAUAGGUGCGCGCCUAACGCAUUGAUAGGAGAACGGCUGUCAUCAAUCAUAUGCGAAAACGGUUACGAA